GAUGAAGAACGCAGUGAAAUGCGAUACGUAAUGUGAAUUGCAGAAUUCAGUGAAUCAUCGAGUCUUUGAACGCACAUUGCGCCCCCUGGUAUUCCGGGGGGCAUGCCUGUCCGAGCGUCAUUGCUGCCCUCAAGCCCGGCUUGGGUGUUGGGUCUCGUCCCCCUUCCCGGGGGGACGGGCCCGAAAGGCAGCGGCGGCACCGUGUCCGGUCUUCGAGCGUAUGGGGCUUUGUCACCCGCUCUGUAGGCCCGGCCGGCGCUUGCCGAUCAACCAAAACUUUUUUCCAGGUUGACCUCGGAUCAGGUAGGGAUACCCGCUGAACUUAAGCAUAUCAAUAAGCGGAGGA
rnacentral:misc_RNA from 1 species